UAGCACACCUAGCAGGGGAGACACCAUGAUCACGAAGGUGGUUCACCCAGGGUGAGGCUUAGCCAUUGCACUUGGGCUAUGCUGACCCCUGCGAAUUCUCCAGAUGCGGGAAUCUCAACUGCAUAAUGGGUGGUAAGGGGAGACUGUGCUCGCACUCUCCAC